rnacentral:pre_miRNA from 1 species
AGGAGGAACAACCGCAGUGGCGGGGCCAGCUCUGCAGCCCUGGAGUCAGCCCCCGCAGUAGCUCCGGAGCUCUUGGUCUGCGGGGCCUGGAGGCUCCGGGCGGGG